rnacentral:lncRNA from 1 species
UAUAGUCAUCAAGGUCAUACCUUUAACCUUCUUGUUUAUCCAGAUCUCCAGCAGCAUCCCAGCACCAAUUCCACCAGCAAUGCAAGACCCAUAGAAGGCUAUGGCCGAGGGUAAAGAUCUUCGAGGAAGGAAAUAGUAGUCUGGAAUUUGCCUAAUCUUUUUCGGAAGCCGCUUCUUUACAACUGGUUUCACACCUGCACCAGGGUCCUUCUGCAAUUCACUACCAAUGGCUUUCCAAUCAACCUCCUUCAGAGGAUCUUUCGACUCUUCAGUUCUCAUGACCCAACAGAUUAGAGCUCAAUU